GACGAACGCUGGCGGCGUGCUUAACACAUGCAAGUCGAACGGAAAGGCCCUGCUUGCAGGGUACUCGAGUGGCGAACGGGUGAGUAACACGUGGGUGAUCUGCCCUGCACUUCGGGAUAAGCCUGGGAAACUGGGUCUAAUACCGGAUAGGAGCCAUCUUUAGUGUGAUGGUUGGAAAGUUUUUUCGGUGUAGGAUGAGCUCGGGGCCUAUCAGCUUGUUGGUGGGGUAAUGGCCUACGAAGGCGGCGACGGGUAGCCGGCCUGGGAGGGUGGACGGCCACAAUGCGACUAAGGGACGGCCCAGACGCCUACGGGGGACAGCGGUGGGGAGUAUUGCACAGUGAGCGCGAGCCUGAUGCAGCGGCGCCGCGUGGGGGAUGACGGCCUUCGGGUUGUGAACUCCUUUCGCUAGAGACGAAGCUUUUGUGACGGUACCUAGAUAAGAAGCACCGGCUAACUACGUG
rnacentral:rRNA from 1 species